GUAUGGCCCAAUCGAAGCUGAAUAUGGUAUCAUACCUAAUAUCAGUCAAAAUGUGGCCAACAACAAUUCUUUGCAUAAAGGUCGCAUGCUGUUUUAUUUGAACAGGGUGCAUUACCCAUGUCAAGUACAUUG